AUUUCAACUACAGAAAC
rnacentral:tRNA from 4 species